GGCCUUAGAACAGUCUGAGACCUACACCGUGAUGAAAUCAGUGCCAACUUCCUCUGAAGUCUUAAAUAAUCCAAUGCCUUUACACACCGUAAACAGUGGGAACGUGGCCUUAGAACAGUCUGAGACCUACACCGUGAUGUACUCAGUGCCAAC